rnacentral:misc_RNA from 1 species
CUCGACGGCUCGACCGCACUGCCAGAGCAGCGCAAAGCCAGGGUAGGGCAACACAAUGUCGAGCGUCAUGACGGCCGCGAAAGGGGACGAUGUGGUCGUGCACGACUUCGCCCCGCUACUCCUUGUAUACAAGAGCGGGCGCCUAGAACGCCCACUGGCCAUGCCGACGGUCUCGUCCGGCCGCGAUGCCGACACGGGCGUCGUGUCCAAGGAUGUGACCCUCUCGCCGCACUCCUUAUCGGUGCGCCUGUACCUCCCGCCCGCCGCUACCACAGCGCCCGAAAGGAGGCUCCCCGUGGUCGUGUACUUCCACGGCGGUGGCUUCGUCGUCGGGUCGGCCAGGUCCGCUGUGUACCACCGCUGCCUGAACGACCUCGCCGCCGCUUGCCCCGCCGUGGCCGUUUCCGUCGACUACCGCCUUGCACCGGAGCAUCCGGUGCCUGCCGCGUACGAGGACUCCCUGGCGGCCCUCAAGUGGGCGUUGGCGCCAUCGUCCGCGACCGACCCAUGGCUCGCGGCGCACGGCGACCCCGCGCGCGUGUUCCUUGCCGGCGACAGCGCGGGGGGCAACAUCUGCCACCACCUUGCCAUGCACCCAGACAUCCGGGACGCUGGCCUCAGGGGCGUCGUGCUCAUCCACCCCUGGUUCUGGGGCAGGGACCCCAUCCCUGGGGAGCCACCGCUGAACCCCGCCUCAAAGCAGCAGAAGGGCCUAUGGGAGUUCGUGUGCCCCGAGGCGGUGGACGGCGCGGACGACCCCAGGAUGAACCCGACAGCGCCGAGCGCCCCGGGGUUGGACAACCUGGCGUGCCAGAAGGUGAUGGUGUGCGUGGCCGAGGGGGACGUCCUUCGAUGGCGCGGGAAGCUGUACGCAGAGGCGGUGGCGCGGGCGAGGGGCACCGAAAAGGACGUGGAGCUAUUCGAAUCCGAAGGGGUCGGGCAUGUGUUCUACCUGCUGGAGCCCGUGCAGGAGAAGGCCAAGGAGCUAUUGGACAAGAUCGCGACGUUUGUCAGGACGGAAUGAGGAGGGAUGCAUUGGUGGUGGUGGUCCGGUGGACACUGUCACACUGGACAUCAUGUAUCGUUAACGUACUACUACUACUACAUACUCCAUUCGUUCUUUUUUAUUUGUCGUUGUUUAGUUUAAAAAUUAAUAAGUAUGCGACAAAUAUUCGAGAACGGAUGUAGUACAUGGUAAAUGCGAGCACGUAUGUAAUUGUACAUACGUACGCGGUACGCGGAUAGGAUAAACAAAAUGC